GUAAAAAGUUGGGAAUAGAUACGCUGACCAUCAUCUGAUUCUUCACUGCUGCUAUCUAUAUGUACAAAAAAUACUGUUAACAGUUGGGAAUUGAUACGCUACCCAUCAUCUGAUUAUUCACUGCUGCUAUCUAUAAAAGCAAAUUCAAAUGGCACACCCAGUGAGCAAGGUGGCAUGGGAUGUGUUGCCAACUCAGAUGACGUUGACUCACCAGACAUAAGUCUUCAAACAAUCCGUGAUGAUGUUGCUUGUUUACAAGCUCCACCUAAUGAUUUACGUUUGCUCGCUGGAGAUUUUGUUCUAAAUCUUUUGGCAGAACAAAAGAUGACACAAGUUAACAUUAAGUAUAUUAUGGAUGAGGGGACCAACCUA
rnacentral:lncRNA from 1 species